rnacentral:rRNA from 1 species
AUGAAUCCCCUUCCGGCCGCCUCUGAUGUUACGGAGAGCGUGCCCGACGCCGAUGGAGCCAGAAGCGUGCAGGCUCGAAUCGCCCGCGGACCGCCGUCCCAAAGAACAUUCUCUACCUGCGAUUCUCAGAAGUUGAUCGACCUCCGGGGAUUAGUUGGGCUGAUUGACGUCGCCCGUUCCCCAGGUGGUUCCGGUCCUGUGAUCCGCAUCGCCGGUACUAGUUCUCUUGGCCACGCCAUCUACAAGAAGGCACCACGGGAGCUCCCGGGGCUGAUUGACGUCGCCCGUUUCCGAAGAGGUUCCGGUUCCGUGAUCCAGCGGCCGCAGCUGCCACCGCCGCGCUGGUCCCUCAGAGAUUCCUUAAGCGACCCCCUCUUCGAGAUUUUUGCGGUAUAUACGCAUUUCCCUCUCAUUGGCGAAGUAUUGGUCUUCAAUGGCAUGGCCACACAGAUCAUCUGCCAGAGCAAGAGUGUGGAUGCGUUUAAUUCAAGCAAAGCGCAAUGGGAAUUAAAACAUCCCAGAUCUAAACAUGUUUUCAGGAUGGAGCUGCCUCCUACGGGGCCAUCAAGGUACAUCUCAGCCGAAUCAGGCGUUCUCCUUCAAGUGAAGAUUGACCCAACUGAGAAUGAACCUGUGGAGGUAUCCAACAAGCUGGUCGAUUGGUUCAAUUCGCCCAUGUCUGACAAAUGCAACUCUGUCACCAUCCAAACACGCAAAGGCAAAGUAGAUGUGUUAUGCGCGGUGAUAAAUGAUGCUGUGGAGGUCACCCUGAGUGUAUGGCUGUGCAUACCUUGUGAGCUAUGCUCCAAUAGCAUACACGGUUCCAUCACCGCGCACACAGACAUAUUUCAUCGUGAUAUCACCAUAUUCACCAGAGGUGCCAAUUCAGGUGUUAAUCCUCUACAGCGUGUUGCCCAUCCAGUACCGCCCUUUCUCUGCGAUGAAUCGCACCGCCAUGUGUGCCUCCCAUUGGUGCGGCCUUUCCUUGCCGUGCCUAUUCAAGCGACUCGCUUAGAGUUUAAGGGGUCCCUAACGAUAGGGAAAUCCAAAACACUGAGUAUCAAGGAAACAGUUCUUCUCAAUGCAGAGGAUAUUUCGAGCCAGUGGUUCAAGCAUGAAGAUGAAGAUUGCUAUACUAGGCUGUCCCUGUCUAUUAGGUGGGCUCGCUAG